rnacentral:rRNA from 2 species
GGUGCUUGCAUCAUGAUUUACAUUUGAGUGAGUGGCGAACUGGUGAGUAACACGUGGGAAACCUGCCCAGAAGCGGGGGAUAACACCUGGAAACAGAUGCUAAUACCGCAUAACAACUUGGACCGCAUGGUCCGAGUUUGAAAGAUGGCUUCGGCUAUCACUUUUGGAUGGUCCCGCGGCGUAUUAGCUAGAUGGUGAGGUAACGGCUCACCAUGGCAAUGAUACGUAGCCGACCUGAGAGGGUAAUCGGCCACAUUGGGACUGAGACACGGCCCAAACUCCUACGGGAGGCAGCAGUAGGGAAUCUUCCACAAUGGACGAAAGUCUGAUGGAGCAACGCCGCGUGAGUGAAGAAGGGUUUCGGCUCGUAAAACUCUGUUGUUAAAGAAGAACAUAUCUGAGAGUAACUGUUCAGGUAUUGACGGUAUUUAACCAGAAAGCCACGGCUAACUACGUGCCAGCAGCCGCGGUAAUACGUAGGUGGCAAGCGUUGUCCGGAUUUAUUGGGCGUAAAGCGAGCGCAGGCGGUUUUUUAAGUCUGAUGUGAAAGCCUUCGGCUCAACCGAAGAAGUGCAUCGGAAACUGGGAAACUUGAGUGCAGAAGAGGACAGUGGAACUCCAUGUGUAGCGGUGAAAUGCGUAGAUAUAUGGAAGAACACCAGUGGCGAAGGCGGCUGUCUGGUCUGUAACUGACGCUGAGGCUCGAAAGUAUGGGUAGCAAACAGGAUUAGAUACCCUGGUAGUCCAUACCGUAAACGAUGAAUGCUAAGUGUUGGAGGGUUUCCGCCCUUCAGUGCUGCAGCUAACGCAUUAAGCAUUCCGCCUGGGGAGUACGGCCGCAAGGCUGAAACUCAAAGGAAUUGACGGGGGCCCGCACAAGCGGUGGAGCAUGUGGUUUAAUUCGAAGCUACGCGAAGAACCUUACCAGGUCUUGACAUACUAUGCAAAUCUAAGAGAUUAGACGUUCCCUUCGGGGACAUGGAUACAGGUGGUGCAUGGUUGUCGUCAGCUCGUGUCGUGAGAUGUUGGGUUAAGUCCCGCAACGAGCGCAACCCUUAUUAUCAGUUGCCAGCAUUAAGUUGGGCACUCUGGUGAGACUGCCGGUGACAAACCGGAGGAAGGUGGGGAUGACGUCAAAUCAUCAUGCCCCUUAUGACCUGGGCUACACACGUGCUACAAUGGAUGGUACAACGAGUUGCGAACUCGCGAGAGUAAGCUAAUCUCUUAAAGCCAUUCUCAGUUCGGAUUGUAGGCUGCAACUCGCCUACAUGAAGUCGGAAUCGCUAGUAAUCGCGGAUCAGCAUGCCGCGGUGAAUACGUUCCCGGGCCUU